GCUGUCGUCAGCUCGUGUCGUGAGAUGUUGGGUUAAGUCCCGCAACGAGCGCAACCCUCGAUCUUAGUUACCAUCAUUGAGUUGGGGACUCUAAGAUGACCGCCGGUGAUAAGCCGGAGGAAGGUGGGGAUGACGUCAAGUCCUCAUGGCCCUUACGCGCUGGGCUACACACGUGCUACAAUGGCAACUACAGUGGGCAGCGACCCUGCGAGGGCGAGCUAAUCCCCAAAAGUUGUCUCAGUUCGGAUUGUUCUCUGCAACUCGAGAGCAUGAAGGCGGAAUCGCUAGUAAUCGCGGAUCAGCAUGCCGCGGUGAAUACGUUCCCAGGCCUUGUACACACCGCCCGUCACACCAUGGGAGUUGGAUUCACCCGAAGGCGUUGCGCCAACCCGCAAGGGAAGCAGGCGACCACGGUGGGUUCAGCGACUGGGGUGAAGUCGUAACAAGGUAG
rnacentral:rRNA from 1 species